rnacentral:rRNA from 1 species
GUGCACCAGUCGAGAAUACUUUACAAUGUGCGAAAGCACGAUAAGGGAACUCUGAGUGCCUCCUAAGGAGGCUGUUCAGGUGUCUAAAAGCACCUGAAGGAAGGGCUGGGUAAGACCGGUGCCAGCCGCCGCGGUAACACCGGCAGCCCAAGUGGUAGCCACGUUUAUUGGGUCUAAAGCGUCCGUAGCCGGCUGGGUAAGUUCCUUGGGAAAUUUGGCUGCUUAACAGUCAAGCUUUCAGGGAAUACUGCCCGGCUUGGGACCGGGAGAGGUCAGAGGUACUCCAGGGGUAGGGGUGAAAUCCAUUAAUCCUUGGGGGACCACCGGUAGCGAAGGCGUCUGACCAGACCGGGUCCGACGGUGAGGGACGAAGGCUAGGGGCGCGAACCGGAUUAGAUACCCGCGUAGU